GACGAACGCUGGCGGCGUGCCUAAUACAUGCAAGUAGAACGCACAGUUUAUACCGUAGCUUGCUACACCAUAAACUGUGAGUUGCGAACGGGUGAGUAACGCGUAGGUAACCUGCCUGGUUGCGGGGGAUAACUAUUGGAAACGAUAGCUAAUACCGCAUAAUAUUGAUUAUUGCAUGAUAAUUGAUUGAAAGAUGCUAUUGCAUCACUACCAGAUGGACCUGCGUUGUAUUAGCUAGUAGGUGAGGUAACGGCUCACCUAGGCGACGAUACAUAGCCGACCUGAGAGGGUGAUCGGCCACACUGGGACUGAGACACGGCCCAGACUCCUACGGGAGGCAGCAGUAGGGAAUCUUCGGCAAUGGACGAAAGUCUGACCGAGCAACGCCGCGUGAGUGAAGAAGGUUUUCGGAUCGUAAAGCUCUGUUGUAAGAGAAGAACGGGUGUGAGAGUGGAAAGUUCACACUGUGACGGUAUCUUACCAGAAAGGGACGGCUAACUACGUG
rnacentral:rRNA from 1 species